rnacentral:rRNA from 1 species
GAUGAACGCUGGCGGCGUGCCUAAUACAUGCAAGUCGAGCGAACAGACGAGGAGCUUGCUCCUCUGACGUUAGCGGCGGACGGGUGAGUAACACGUGGAUAACCUACCUAUAAGACUGGGAUAACUUCGGGAAACCGGAGCUAAUACCGGAUAAUAUAUUGAACCGCAUGGUUCAAUAGUGAAAGACGGUUUUGCUGUCACUUAUACAUGGAUCCGCGCCGCAUUAGCUAGUUGGUAAGGUAACGGCUUACCAAGGCAACGAUGCGUAGCCGACCUGAGAGGGUGAUCGGCCACACUGGAACUGAGACACGGUCCAGACUCCUACGGGAGGCAGCAGUAGGGAAUCUUCCGCAAUGGGCGAAAGCCUUACGGAGCAACGCCGCGUGAGUUAUGAAGGUCUUCGGAUCGUAAAACUCUGUUAUUAGGGAAGAACAAAUGUGUAAGUAACUAUGCACGUCUUGACGGUACCUAAUCAGAAAGCCACGGCUAACUACGUG